AGUGAACGCUGGCGGUAGGCCUAACACAUGCAAGUCGAACGGCAGCACAGUAAGAGCUUGCUCUUACGGGUGGCGAGUGGCGGACGGGUGAGGAAUACAUCGGAAUCUACUUUUUCGUGGGGGAUAACGUAGGGAAACUUACGCUAAUACCGCAUACGACCUACGGGUGAAAGCAGGGGAUCUUCGGACCUUGCGCGAUUGAAUGCGCCGUUUUCGGGUUACCUAGUUGGCGGGGUAAAGGCCCAACAAGCCGACAACCCGUAGCCGGUCUAAGAGGAUGAUCAGCCACACUUGAAAGGAGACAAGGUCCAGAAUCCUAAGGGAGACAAAAGUGGGGAAUAUUGGAAAAUGGGCACAAGACUGAUCCAACCAUACCGAGUGGGUGAAAAAGGCCAUCGGGUUGUAAAGCCCUUUUGUUGGGAAAGAAAAGCAGCAGGUUAAUACCACGCUGUUCUGACGGUACACAAAGAAUAAGAACCGGCUAACUUCGUG
rnacentral:rRNA from 1 species